rnacentral:lncRNA from 1 species
GCCCGGGCGCCUCGUGCGUGUCCGCGAGCUCGCGUGCGCGCGUCACCUCGGCCCCCAACAUGGCUUGAGGGCGGCCCUACCCGCGCCGCCCUAGUGCUGCGAAGGGCCUGGGAGCCCAAACCCGGAACCGCCACCUGGGACUGGGAAGACGACAUGGCCAGAAGUCGAUCACUGAUAGCAUGGAACUGCCCCUUUCUGGGGAGGUAGGGUACACAGAGGGCAGCCACCUCGAAAGAGAAGACAGCGCUCUCCAAGCCGCUUCAAUCCUCAACACAGCCAGCCUAUUGCCGGCCAGUCUUCAUCUGGAGCCCAAGCCCCUGCCACUGCGAAGUAUUUCCAGGCUCAGGCCACUGUGGGCACUGGGGGAGUCACAUUUCUGACCUUCUGGCUUGAAUAUAGUCCUCCAUACAGUCAGACUCCGAAUGGACUGCGUUUGAGGUGAGCUCAACUAUAAAUCGAGCAAUACAAUUCUGUGCAAUGGAAAGACAGCAAGUUUGGAGGCGUGUGUGUGUGUGUGUGUGUGUGAGAGAGAGAGAGAGAGACAGCGAGAGAGAGAGAAAGGUGUGGAGGAGGCGGCAGCUGGGGUGAUGCCAUGCUUUGUUUUUGGAACAUUAUUAUUUUCUCUUCUUUCCCUAAAGAACAGCACUUUAAAAAUCAAUUAUUUAACUCUGAAAGAGCCCCAUGGCAUUUUAACUGUAUAAAAUUAGUCAUGAUGACAUUAAAUCCUGAUUCGGGAACCUAGCCGAUCAAACCAUUGUGCUCCUCCGGAAUGGCUGGAAUAAGAACACUACCUUGGCAGACAUCUCCGCAGUGAUUAACACUUAUGUCAUCCUGAAGCAGUGAUUACUUUACAUCUGAUCUCAGUGUGAUCCCGCCUGCAAAUUUCCCAAGGAAGGAAAAAAAAAAAAGAUUCUGCAAUAUUGUCAAAAAUAAUGCUAUUGUCAGAAGUAAUGGUCUCUGAAAGUCGUAUUUCAUAUUUAGUACAAUUUUUUUGGCUUCCUCUGAGUGCAAACACAGAGAAAGUGAAUUAGAGUAACCUCGCUAUAUUUUAGCUCCAGUCUCUAAGGCAAAAUGUACCUCUCAGAGCUAUUUAUUAUUUUAUUUCUUACUGGCUUUUUAUGUUGAGAGAAUGAAGGGUAAAGUAAAAGAGGUUUUAACAUUUCAUGGCUCUGU